CCUACGGGGGGCAGCAGUGGGGAAUAUUGGGCAAUGGGCGCAAGCCUGACCCAGCAACGCCGUGUGAAGGAAGAAGGCUUUCGGGUUGUAAACUUCUUUUCUCAGGGACGAAGCAAGUGACGGUACCUGAGGAAUAAGCCACGGCUAACUACGUGCCAGCAGCCGCGGUAAUACGGAGGGGGCAAGCGUUAUCCGGAUUUACUGGGUGGAAAGGGCGUGUAGGCGGGACUGCAAGUCAGAUGGGAAAACCACGGGCUCAACCUGUGGCCUGCAUUUGAAACUGUAGUUCUUGAGUACGGGAGAGGCAGACGGAAUGCCUAGUGUAGCGGUGAAAUGCGUAGAUAUCAGGAGGAACACCAGUGGCGAAGGCAGUCUGCUGGACAGCAACUGACGCUGAGGCGCGAAAGCGUGGGGAGCAAACAGGAUUAGAUACCCCUGUAGUC
rnacentral:rRNA from 1 species